CGAGAUUAUUAAAAUAUAUUUAAUAAAAUAAAAAACGUAUAAUAUAACAAUAACCGAUAUUUGACAUGUCAGACGAUAGGAAAUUAGUGUAUUAUAGGUAAACAUUUGUGGCACUUAUUAAUCGUCGAGUACCUAAAUAUUUUCUUUUAAAUGAACACAGUACAAGGGGAAGAAUGUAUUUAUCACACAGAAAAAUCAAGAACCUCGAUAUAAUUUAUUUCAUUCAAACAUAUAAUUGACAUGUCAAUACAACAAAUACACUACAACAAUGACUCAAAUAUAUUAUUACAUUAAAAAUAUAUUACUCUAGCUAGAUAUUUUGCACAAACACAAAAUUUUAUUUAAUUGUAAUCAAUACGAUUAUCGGGUCGACGUAUAAAACUCUCUUUAAUACUCAUUUAUUUAGAUCUUUAGAUGUUGUAAUGUGCACACAUAAAUUUGUUAGUUUAUUUUCACCUUUUUAUUUUUUAUAUAAAAAAUAGGGGCCAAAAAAUAAUCAUUGCCAGAUUAAAAUAUUGUUCAUUUCAUUAAACAUUGAUUAAAUAACAAAAAAGUAAUACAUAAUAAAGACUACAAUUAAAUUACAAACUGUACAAAAAUUGCUGUGAUGUAUAAACUUUGGCUUAGGAGUAAUUCAUAACGAUUGUUUGUUUAUUUACAAAAAUAUUACAAUUUAUAACUACAUAAUAUUCUAAACAUAAUGAGAUAACAAGACAUUUGAAAUUCGUUUCAUAGAACAACAAGAAACUUGUUAAUUAUCGCAAGAAUGUGUAGUUUAAAAAAAAAAAAAACAAAUCUAAUUAAAUGCCUUUUAUAGUAUUUUAAUUGUCAAUAACUUGACCUUUGCGAGCGGUAAAAUUUUUUAGGGCUAAUUUUUAUUUCAAAGAACAUAAAAAGGGAAUUUAAAUCGGUUUACGGAUGUUUUUCAUAAAGUUUUUAUUCCAUUAUCGUUAUCUCCGAGAUAUGAACAUCUUCCGAUGUGUAUUUUCGUUACGGAAUGUUAUCAGCGCCGUGACCGAUAACGCUCGGUACAGCUGUUCACACAAACACGACUGCUUGGAGUCACUUUCCCAUAUCGCACGAAAUCAUUAAUAAUAUUACGAACACUAUUUGUAAUUUUGUUUAGAUAAGUAAGAUGAAUGUAUUGUUCUCCUUAAACAUGUCCAUAAUACGAGUGAAACCGCGUGUGAAGCAUAGUAGAUAAGUCAUAUAUAAACAAAUUCGUCGAUGACCCUGUACAAUCUCGUGAUAAACUCUUAAAUUAAUAAAUAUAUUUAUAAAAACAUUUUAGUUAACAUUUUACACAUUACACGCGUCUGCCCCACUGACCUACAUUACUUAACAUACGAAAUAAUUCGUUUUAAAACAUCUAUAACUAAUUAAAAUGGAAGACAUUUAAUUAGCCAUUUUGUAAAUAUUUAAAAAAAAAAACUAUAAAAAUAUUUCGGAAGCGUUAAGACUUCAAGUACAACAUUAUUUCGUAUUAUGCAGCUCAUUAAUUUAUUUACUAUACAUUACAUAAUCUGACUAUGUUCAUACACAGAUAUAAACAAUAAUUGUUUCCUUAUGUACUCGGUCUACUUGUAUUUACUGAAAAAAAAGGGUAUUUUUUUGUUAGUUCCCUAUAAAACCUAACAUUUUAGUUAUAACCAUCACUUCAUCCAAAAAAGCGAUACAGAGGUCCUGAAUUAACAUAUUUUAAAUAGGAUACAAUGUUGACCUAUAUAUGACCUUUGUAAUUAAAACCAAGUUCAAUCGAGCAACGCCGCGAGCUACAGCUAGUGUAUGUGUAUGACUUAAACAAUCCUAUUGUAUAAUUACUUAAACAAUUGCUAAAUUUAAAUAUUAGCAGGACAAAGAAUUGUCAAAAUAACAACAAAAACAAGAAAGGAUGUCUCGUUACUGUAACAUUAAGAAUUAAUAAAUAAUUUGACCCACAUUUCAAUUAGUUUUAAUAUCCUGCUAGAAAUUUGGAGCAGCCAAACUGGGAAAGUACCUCGACCUUAUUGAAGAUCACAGCUUAAUAAUACUGCUUUCAAGCAGUGUUGUGUGUCUGUGGUAAGGUGACCAAAGCUCCUGGGGGGAUUGGGGUAACAAUUACAGAUUGAGAGAAAAUCUAGAAUAUACUAAAAUGAUUUGCUACUUACUACCUACAAGCUGUCGUGUAAAAUUGGGUAAAAGCAAUUAUUUUGAUGUAAUAAGAUAGUAAAAAAAACAAAGGCAAUUUGUUUAAUAUUAAGAUUUUUGUUUCAACUUUUAAAACAAUUGUGACUAUUUCAAUAUUGAAUAUUAUUUAAAAAAAAAAAUGUUCCAGAAUAAAAGGCACCGUUUUUUACUCACUAACUCAUUACUAAAUUCCAUUUUAACAAUUAAGUACUAGUUGAAUGAAUAUAAAACGUUAUCAUCACAUUACAUAAAAAAGUUUUAUUUGGUUUAUCAUGAAGACAAAACGCCUGUAAAUUAUUCAUUUUGACCAUUUUCGUACACUUCAAACAAAAAUUUUAAACAAACGACGCUUGUUUAUACUUCCAAAUUUUUUCUUACGAUCAUUCAAAAUACAUUAAAAUUCUGAAUAUUUGACAGCAAGUGGAAAAACAAGACGUUUUCGAUACUAUUGUGAUGUGGUUUAAUAUUUUUACGAGGAUUUAAAUUAACAAAAGAUGACUAUAAGCUACUAUUGACAUACUUUGUAAUUACUUGAUCACAAUAUCAUAAGGUUAUAUUUAAUAUUUAUUAUUAUUAGCUUAUAAAUGACUCAAAAAAACUUAUUUGAAUAUUUCAGAGAAGCGUUGAUAUGGUGUUCAAUUUGUCCCAUGUGAAUAUUACCGACUGAGAUCCCAUAAAUAUUAUAAUUAUAAGUUUUUCUUUUUUUAUUAAUAGUAUAAAAGUUUUACAUAAUUUAAUAUUCCAACAUCGUCAAGGAACUUUCAGCAUAUUUACAAUUUAAUCAAUAAAAUUGAUAGCUUUUUGAUACUUUUAUUGUGAUGAGCGAACAAUUCUUAGAUUAUAUUUCGUUUUUUGUGUAAAUGAUAGAUGGCGGGUCGUUCUUAAAAAUCAGAACUAAGAGCAUACCUUCAUUUUGUAGAUCCGUAUGUUUAAAUAAUUUAAUUUUAGACCAACUUCUAAUUUAGUACUAUUAGCUAGUUCCAAAUUGUUCUAUAGACCCAAAGUAUUUAUAUAGAGACCCACAAAGAUCCGUGUUAGAGCAAAAUAAAAUUGAGGGUAGUUGCGGUAUAAAGUAUAACUUACGUCAACUAUUUAUUUAGAUAUAAAUAAGAACUUAAUCAUCUAUUUUUGUACAAAAUAUAGCUGCCAUCUUUUAUUUUUUUAUUUUUUUUUUUAAAUAAAAAUAGCUAUGACAUGAUAAUACUUAUGAUUGAAAUUAAUUUAAUUCCUGUGUUUAUUUAAUUUUAACAAAAAUUGCAUGUUCCUAUUUGUACAAAUAGUAGUUUAGUAGUAUUAUUGUUAUGUUAAAAAAAAUCAGAACAAUGUCCACUGGUGGGUGUUUUGUGGGGUGCCGAUUGUCGGUGACACCACCCGACUCCGCCAUCGAACAGAGCGAGCAGGAAUCCUGUUUGCUCACCGUCAAUCUCGUAAUUCCGUUUCGUGGUGUCGUGGUCACGUCUCGCGAUCACGUACGACUCCGAGGGUCUUUCUUGCCUUAGCCGGCCGGACCGCGAGGAAGAAAACCUCUAUAAAAUUACCCCGUAUCCCAAGCGGCACAGCGUGAAAGUAUGCACGGCAGAUGGGAAGUUCAGUCCAUUCGUGUCACUAAAAGCAGGGAUAGAUUCGCGAAAACUUCAUAGCCCCAGGUACCGACGCCUCAGAAUCUUCACCGACCGUAUUUGGCUCUGGCGGCGAGUGGCACGAGAAGGGCAGAGUUGACGUUGUGCCUGCGAAGGGCGGAGAAGACGUUGGCACGAGAAGGCGGUGUUUUUUGUACUUCGGGAACAACUAGCUCCGAUGCGGAUAUCAGAGGAAGGUCGCUGUUGGACUUAGACUCAUCACGAAAAUUCUGGCGAAAACUCCAACAUCUGCCCACCCACGAUUGGGAAGUACGUUGGCUUCUUAAAGAUCGAAGCUGACUACCUUGCUCAAUGCCACAAGGAGCUGGAGCUAGAGGCCGAUAGAGAGGCAGUGCAGAUCACGCGCCAAAUCAGGGCGACGCGUAUCUUGAAUUGACGACCACGAACGAAGAAGGCUCGACACUGGACCUCCACAAGAGGACCCAGGAGUGCGUGCUCUUACUCUUCUCUCUACAUUCUAGUGUCAAUCAGCCUCCCUCUGAGAUCGGACGAGAGGAUAGAGGCGCCAACUUCCCAGCCGGCGGAGCUCCGUGGCCAAACAACGUUGACUUCACCAGCAAAUCCAGCCCCCAAAAAGGUGAAAACCCACAGGGAAAAAGAAAGAAAAAGAAGACGGGUGCGGUCGCAUAAGAACCUUCGCCUCCUAAACCUCGUCAAGUUCGAUCUUGCAUGGAGUACUGCAGCCAUUUAUGGGAUGGCUCUACCAAGUACCAACUUGCUGCUUUGCGUUCUAAGGAUCGACGCGCUAGAAGACUCAUUUGUGACGAAUCGAUGGUUAGCUCUAGACUUUCGAAGUCUCGAUCAUCGGCGCAAGGUUGUCUGUCUGUCGGUAUUGUACAGGUUAUAUUUUGGAAAGUGUGCUCAAGAACUAUACAAUUUGGUUCUGCCGUCACCUUUCUACCACCGAACCGCAAGGCAUCGCAUGAAUCUGAACCGCUACGUGGUUGAAAUCUCAUGAUCUCGGACUAAGCGCUUUGCUUUCUCGUUCCUAAUACGCAUCGCAAAAAUUUGGAAUGACCUUCCGGCUUCCGUUUUUCCAACUAACUAUAACUUGGGUAUCUUUAAAUCAAGAGUGAAUAGGCAUCUUCUAGGCAAGCGCGCACCAUCUUAGGUUGCAUCUUCACUUGCCAUCAGGUGAGAUCGCAGUCCCGGACCCCCGAGAAGCCUAGACCCCAAGAAGAGUUGCUGGACUUCUACUGGGCGCGACAAGCCGAUGACGAUUAAUUUGAUCGGAACACCAAUGAUGAUGAUGACAUGAUGAUUUUUAACUUAUAAACACAUCAUUUUAAGCUAUUGUUUUAGUUUUUGAUGUAAAUUAACUAUAUUAAUAUUUAUUUACAAAAAUGUUAUAAAAUUCAUUAAAAAAUAGAGGAUAUAUUCCUUGUUUCGUCCCAACCUUAUCUUGUACAAAUUUGUAUAUUUUUAUUAUUAUGAUUUAAUUUUUAUUUAAAUAUAAUUUUAUUUUAAUUUUAUUAUUUUAUACGAUAUUUUUAUGUUUUUAGAAGCCCUGAUAAUUUCCUGAGACUUGUUUAUUUCAAUAAAAAUCCUUUACGCCAUAAUUAUUGUUUUCAUUGCACGAAUAUUCUAAUCACCCUAUUUUUUAUUUAUAUUUUUAACUGUUAUAUAUUAUCUUAGGGUUAUUUCGAAAUUUUAUAUACAAAUAUCAUGCACUAUGUUUAAAUUUUAAAUAUUACAUAGCAUAAGUGUCAAGUAAUGUGUGAGUACUAUGAACAAGGGAAUUGAUGAACGUUUCAAAUUCUUUGUCAUAUAUUAUGUACUGUCACUAUACUAGAAAAUAUAUUAAUAUUUUAUACUACUUAUAAUUCGCUAUCAAGGAGGCACAUUUACUAGAGGCACCAUAUGGUAUUUUUAUAUUAAAACAGUUUCUUUUUUAUAAAAGACUAACCGCAGAGUUCCUCCUAAUUUUCUCUUCG
rnacentral:misc_RNA from 1 species